rnacentral:rRNA from 1 species
AUGAACGCUGGCGGCGUGCCUAAUCCAUGCAAGUCGAGCGAACAGACGAGGAGCUUGCUCCUCUGACGUUAGCGGCGGACGGGUGAGUAACACGUGGAUAACCUACCUAUAAGACUGGGAUAACUUCGGGAAACCGGAGCUAAUACCGGAUAAUAUAUUGAACCGCAUGGUUCAAUAGUGAAAGACGGUUUUGCUGUCACUUAUAGAUGGAUCCGCGCCGCAUUAGCUAGUUGGUAAGGUAACGGCUUACCAAGGCAACGAUGCGUAGCCGACCUGAGAGGGUGAUCCGCCACACUGGAACUGAGACACGGUCCAGACUCCUACGGGAGGCAGCAGUAGGGAAUCUUCCGCAAUGGGCGAAAGCCUGACGGAGCAACGCCGCGUGAGUGAUGAAGGUCUUCGGAUCGUAAAACUCUGUUAUUAGGGAAGAACAAAUGUGUAAGUAACUAUGCACGUCUUGACGGUACCUAAUCAGAAAGCCACGGCUAACUACGUG